rnacentral:rRNA from 1 species
UACGAAGGGGGCUAGCGUUGCUCGGAAUCACUGGGCGUAAAGGGUGCGUAGGUGGAUAUUUAAGUCAGGGGUGAAAUCCUGGAGCUCAACUCCAGAACUGCCUUUGAUACUGAGGAUCUUGAGUUCGGGAGAGGUGAGUGGAACUGCGGGUGUAGAGGUGAAAUUCGUAGAUAUUCGCAAGAACACCAGUGGCGAAGGCGGCUCACUGGCCCGAUACUGAGCGCUGAGGCGCGAAAGCGUGGGGAGCAAACAGG